GAUGAACGCUAGCGGCAGGCUUAAUACAUGCAAGUCGAGGGGCAGCAUGAUUGUAGCAAUACAAUUGAUGGCGACCGGCAAACGGGUGCGGAACACGUACACAACCUUCCAAUAAGUGGGGAAUAGCCCAGAGAAAUUUGGAUUAAUACCCCGUAACAUAACGAUGUGGCAUCACAUUGUUAUUAUAGAUUUUUCGCUUAUUGAUGGGUGUGCGGCUGAUUAGAUAGUUGGCGGGGUAACGGCCCACCAAGUCUACGAUCAGUAGCUGAUGUGAGAGCAUGAUCAGCCACACGGGCACUGAGACACGGGCCCGACUCCUACGGGAGGCAGCAGUAAGGAAUAUUGGACAAUGGACGCAAGUCUGAUCCAGCCAUGCCGCGUGAAGGAUUAAGGUCCUCUGGAUUGUAAACUUCUUUUAUAAGGGACGAAAAAAGGCUUUUCUAAGUCGUCUGACGGUACCUUAUGAAUAAGCACCGGCUAACUCCGUGCCAGCCGCCGCUGUAAGAC
rnacentral:rRNA from 1 species